AACGAACGCUGGCGGCAUGCCUAACACAUGCAAGUCGAACGAGACCUUCGGGUCUAGUGGCGCACGGGUGCGUAACGCGUGGGAACCUGCCCUUAGGUUCGGAAUAACUCCCCGAAAGGGGUGCUAAUACCGGAUAAUGUCUUCGGACCAAAGAUUUAUCGCCUUUGGAUGGGCCCGCGUUGGAUUAGCUAGUUGGUAGGGUAAAAGCCUACCAAGGCGACGAUCCAUAGCUGGUCUGAGAGGAUGAUCAGCCACACUGGGACUGAGACGCGGCCCAGACUCCUACGGGAGGCAGCAGUGGGGAAUAUUGGACAAGGGGCGAAAGCCUGAUCCAGCAAUGCCGCGUGAGUGAUGAAGGCCUUAGGGUUGUAAAGCUCUUUUACCCGGGAUGAUAAUGACAGUACCGGGAGAAUAAGCUCCGGCUAACUCCGUG
rnacentral:rRNA from 1 species